rnacentral:tRNA from 1 species
GCGCCCGUAGCUCAGUGGAUAGAGCAUUGGUCUUCGGAACCAAGGGUCGCGGGUU